GACGAACGCUGGCGGCGUGCUUAACACAUGCAAGUCGAACGGAAAGGCCCUGCUUUUGUGGGGUGCUCGAGUGGCGAACGGGUGAGUAACACGUGAGUAACCUGCCCUUGACUUUGGGAUAACUUCAGGAAACUGGGGCUAAUACCGGAUAGGAGCUCCUGCUGCAUGGUGGGGGUUGGAAAGUUUCGGCGGUUGGGGAUGGACUCGCGGCUUAUCAGCUUGUUGGUGGGGUAGUGGCUUACCAAGGCUUUGACGGGUAGCCGGCCUGAGAGGGUGACCGGCCACAUUGGGACUGAGAUACGGCCCAGACUCCUACGGGAGGCAGCAGUGGGGAAUAUUGCACAAUGGGCGGAAGCCUGAUGCAGCAACGCCGCGUGCGGGAUGACGGCCUUCGGGUUGUAAACCGCUUUGGCCUGUGACGAAGCGGGAGUGACGGUAAUGGGUAAAGAAGCACCGGCUAACUACGUG
rnacentral:rRNA from 1 species